AGCAGCCGCGGUAAUUCCAGCUCCAAUAGCGUAUAUUAAAGUUGUUGCAGUUAAAAAGCUCGUAGUUGAAUUUCGGGAUCAAUACGUCGGUCGUGCCUUCGGUACGUACUGGCGUCAUUGGUUUCUCCCUUCUGACGAACCAUGAUGUCAUUAAUUUGGUGUUAUGGGAAGUUAGGACUGUUACUUUGAAAAAUUAGAGUGUUUAAAGCAGGCAUUAGCUUGAAUACAUUAGCAUGGAAUAAUGAAAUAGGAUGUUCGAACCUAUUUUGUUGGUUUCUAGGAUCAACGUAAUGAUUAAUAGGGAUAGUUGGGGGCAUUAGUGUUCAAUUGUCAGAGGUGAAAUUCUUGGAUUUAUUGAAGACUAACUACUGCGAAAGCAUUUGCCAAGGAUG
rnacentral:rRNA from 1 species